rnacentral:rRNA from 1 species
GACGAACGCUGGCGGCGUGCUUAACACAUGCAAGUCGUACGGUAAGGCCCUUUCGGGGGUACACGAGUGGCGAACAGGUGAGUAACACGUGAGUAACCUGCCCACAACUUUGGGAUAACGCUAGGAAACUGGUGCUAAUACUGGAUAUGUGCUCCUGCUGCAUGGUGGGGGUUGGAAAGCUCCGGCGGUUGUGGAUGGACUCGCGGCCUAUCAGCUUGUUGGUGGGGUAGUGGCCUACCAAGGCGGCGACGGGUAGCCGGCCUGAGAGGGUGACCGGCCACAUUGGGACUGAGAUACGGCCCAGACUCCUACGGGAGGCAGCAGUGGGGAAUAUUGCACAAUGGGCGCAAGCCUGAUGCAGCAACGCCGCGUGCGGGAUGACGGCCUUCGGGUUGUAAACCGCUUUCAGCAGGGACGAAGCUUUUUGUGACGGUACCUGCAGAAGAAGCACCGGCUAACUACGUG